rnacentral:rRNA from 1 species
GACGAACGCUGGCGGCGUGCUUAACACAUGCAAGUCGAACGGAAAGGCCCUGCUCUUGUGUGGUGCUCGAGUGGCGAACGGGUGAGUAACACGCGAGUAUCCCGCCCCUGACUUUGGGAUAACAUUAGGAAAAUGGGGCUCAUAUCGGGUAGGAGCUCUUGCUGCAUGGUGGGGGUUGGAGAGUUUCGGCGGUGGGGGAUGGACUCGCGGCUUACCCGCUUGUUUGGGAGGUAGUGGCUUACCAAGGGUUUGACGGGUAGCCGGCCUGAGAGGGUGACCGGCCACAAUGGGACUGAGGUACGGCCCAGACGCCUACGGGACGCAGCAGUGGGGAGUAUUGCGCAAUGAGCGGAAGCCUGAUGCAGCAACGCCGCGUGCGGGAUAACGGCCUUCGGGUUGUAAACCGAUUUCGCCUGUGACGAAGCGUGAGUGACGGUAAUGGGUAAAGAAGCACCGGCUAACUACGUG